AAUAGAUACCCCGGUAGUCCGCGCCGUAAACGGUGGGCACUAGGUGUGGGCGACAUUCCACGUCGUCCGUGCCGCAGCUAACGCAUUAAGUGCCCCGCCUGGGGAGUACGGCCGCAAGGCUAAAACUCAAAGGAAUUGACGGGGGGCCCGCACAAGCGGCGGAGCAUGUGGCUUAAUUCGACGCAACGCGAAGAACCUUACCAAAGCUUGACAUACACCGGAAACGUCCAGAGAUGGGCGCCCCCUUGUGGUCGGUGUACAGGUGGUGCAUGGCUGUCGUCAGCUCGUGUCGUGAGAUGUUGGGUUAAGUCCCGCAACGAGCGCAACCCUUGUCCCGUGUUGCCAGCAGGCCCUUGUGGUGCUGGGGACUCACGGGAGACCGCCGGGGUCAACUCGGAGGAAGGUGGGGACGACGUCAAGUCAUCAUGCCCCUUAUGUCUUGGGCUGCACACGUGCUACAAUGGCCGGUACAAUGAGCUGCGAUGCCGCGAGGUGGAGCGAAUCUCAAAAAGCCGGUCUCAGUUCGGAUUGGGGU
rnacentral:rRNA from 1 species